AAAAAAUAUUAACAUUUAAAGAUAAAAAAUAAAAAAAUAAAUUUUUCCAUAAAAAAUUUUAAUUCAUAUGAUUUAUUUUUUUAUUUUUGAUGCAUAUCAAAAUAAUAAUUUUUUUUUUGUUAUAUGUAAUUCGUGAAAGCAUUAGAUGAGUUGAACAACACAUAACAUGAUUCAAAAUAAACCCUUCACUGACGAGCAAUGUACUUAUAUAUAGAAAGAAUUCGUAUGAUGUCAGAUGGCGCAAUUCCAAAUGAUCAAUUGAAUAAAUCUUGAGAUAAAAAUUAUUUUUAAAAAA